AUCCUUGACUCCUCUUUCUUUAACGCUCUUCAUUCAACCCAUCAGAAAAUUCUGUGAGUUGAAUCUUCAAAAUAUAUCUUUUCUCAUCAUCUCCACUGCUACCACUUAGUCCAAUUCACCAUUCUCUCACUUGGCUUCCUGAACACUUGCAUCCCCCACAGUUUAUUAUCCUCCAGAUAGCAGCCAAAUGACUGUAUUAAAACAUAAAUCAGAUUAUGCUGUUUCUCAGUUCUAAAGUCUUCAAAGGCUUCCCAUUUCUCUCAGAAUAGAUCCAAGUUCAUACCAUGGUUUGCCUCAAGCCAUCCUGGAUUCCUUGCCAGUCCAUGCAUAUGCCCACACAUGCUUUCACCUCGGGGACUUUUUCUUCUGCUAAGAUGCUUGCUUUCUCCAGGUAUCAAUAGGGUCCACUUCCUGACUUCUUUUAGGUCUCUGUUCAAAUUGCAUCUUAUCAGAGGGAUGUUCCUUGAUUACCCUCUAUAAAAUAGCUCCCCACUUCUUAUAGAUAUUCACUUUUGGAUGGAUUAUAUUUUAUUAUGCUUUUCCCCCUCUUUGCUAAUCUGAAGUUGCAUGCUCUGCUUCUGUUCUUUUAGUUCUGAAAGAUACAACAUACGUUCUUUAAAAACUUUAUUAAAUUACAAUAUUAAUACAGAAAAUUACACAUAUAUAUAUAGAGAGAACUAUCUUGAUGAAUCUUCAAAAUUAAACAUACCUGUGUAACCACCUCGUGGAUUAAGAACAGAAAUUAUAGCAUUCCAGAAGCCACCGGAGCCCCCCAACUUCCAGUCACUACCCUAAAAAGGGUUACUUCUAACACCAUAGAUUAAUUUCACCUGCUUUUGUACUUUUAAAUAAUGGAAUCACACUGUGUGUAUUCUUCUAUGUCAGGCUUCUUCUGCUCAAAACUAUGUUUGUGAGCUUCAUUAAUAUUGUGUGUAGUUGUUUAUUUUCAUUGCUGUGUAUACUUGAUUAUGUGAAUAUACCGAUAUUUAUUUACCCAUUCUACUGCUGACAGGCUGCUAUGAACAUUCUAGUAUAUGUCUUUUAGGGAACAUAUUUAUGCAUUUCUGUUGAGUAUAUACCCAGGGGCAGGAUUGCUGGGUCAUAUUAUUCAGCUUCAGUAGAUACUGCCAAAUACUUUUCCAAAACAGUUGUAUGUACCAAUGUAUAGUCUCACUAGCAGUAUCUGAAAAAUCUAGUUCUUAAUUUUAAUCUAUGUUAAUGUAUCAUUUUUUCUUUAUGUUUAGUACUUUCUAUAGCAUGUAAUAAAUCUGUGCCUAUAUUAAGGUUGUAAAAA
rnacentral:lncRNA from 10 species